GUAGGGAAUCUUCCACAAUGGACGAAAGUCUGAUGGAGCAACGCUGCGUGAGUGAAGAAGGUCUUCGGAUCGUAAAACUCUGUUGUUAGAGAAGAACGUGCAUGAUAGUAACUGAUCAUGUAAUGACGGUAUCUAACCAGAAAGCCACGGCUAACUACGUGCCAGCAGCCGCGGUAAUACGUAGGUGGCAAGCGUUGUCCGGAUUUAUUGGGCGUAAAGGGAACGCAGGCGGUUUUUUAAGUCUGAUGUGAAAGCCUUCGGCUUAACCGAAGAAUAGCAUUGGAAACUGGGAGACUUGAGUGCAGAAGAGGAGGGUGGAAUUCCAUGUGUAGCGGUGAAAUGCGUAGAUAUAUGGAGGAACACCAGUGGCGAAAGCGGCUCUCUGGUCUGUAACUGACGCUGAGGUUCGAAAGCGUGGGUAGCAAACAGGAUUAGAAACCCGUGUAGUCC
rnacentral:rRNA from 1 species